rnacentral:rRNA from 1 species
CCGGUGCUUCUUUUAAAGGUAACGUCAAGAAAAAAGGUUAUAAACCAAAAGCUUUUCUUCCCAAUUGAAAGAGCUUUACAACCCGCAGGCCUUCUUCACACACGCGGCAUUGCUGCAUC